UACAGAGGGUGCGAGCGUUGUCCGGAAUCACUGGGCGUAAAGGGCGCGUAGGUGGCGCUGCAAGUCGGUGGUGAAAGCUCGAUGCUUAACAUCGAGUCGGCCAUCGAAACUGCAGGGCUCGAGCACUGUAGGGCAGAUGGAAUUCCGGGUGUAGCGGUGGAAUGCGCAGAUAUCAGGAGGAACACCGAUGGCGAAGGCAGAUCUCUGGGCCGUAACUGACGCUGAGGAGCGAAAGCAUGGGGAGCGAACAGG
rnacentral:rRNA from 1 species